rnacentral:rRNA from 1 species
UGGGGAAUAUUGCACAAUGGAGGGAACUCUGAUGCAGCGACGCCGCGUGAACGAAGAAGGCUUUCGAGUCGUAAAGUUCUUUUGUAUGGGAAGAAAAUGACAGUACCAUACGAAUAAGGACCGGCUAAUUACGUGCCAGCAGCCGCGGUAAUACGUAAGGUCCGAGCGUUGUCCGGAAUCAUUGGGCGUAAAGGGUACGUAGGCGGAUAAGCAAGUUAGAAGUGAAAUCCUAUAGCUCAACUAUAGUAAGCUUUUAAAACUGCUCAUCUUGAGGUAUGGAAGGGAAAGUGGAAUUCCUAGUGUAGCGGUGAAAUGCGCAGAUAUUAGGAGGAAUACCGGUGGCGAAGGCGACUUUCUGGCCAUAAACUGACGCUGAGGUACGAAAGCGUGGGUAGCAAACAGG